UCCACCGAUUGACUAAGGUUUCCAGAGGAAGGCUCGUCCGCUCUGGGUUAGUCGGGUCCUAAGCUGAGGCCGACAGGCGUAGGCGAUGGAUAACAGGUUGAUAUUCCUGUACCACCUAUAAUCGUUUUAAUCGAUGGGGGGACGCAGUAGGAUAGGCGAAGCGUGCGAUUGGAUUGCACGUCUAAGCAGUAAGGCUGAGUAUUAGGCAAAUCCGGUACUCGUUAAGGCUGAGCUGUGAUGGGGAGAAGACAUUGUGUCUUCGAGUCGUUGAUUUCACACUGCCGAGAAAAGCCUCUAGAUAGAAAAUAGGUGCCCGUACCGCAAACCGACACAGGUAGUCAAGAUGAGAAUUCUAAGGUGAGCGAGCGAACUCUCGUUAAGGAACUCGGCAAAAUGACCCCGUAACUUCGGGAGAAGGGGUGCUCUUUAGGGUUAACGCCCAGAAGAGCCGCAGUGAAUAGGCCCAAGCGACUGUUUAUCAAAAACACAGGUCUCUGCUAAACCGUAAGGUGAUGUAUAGGGGCUGACGCCUGCCCGGUGCUGGAAGGUUAAGAGGAGUGGUUAGCUUCUGCGAAGCUACGAAUCGAAGCCCCAGUAAACGGCGGCCGUAACUAUAACGGUCCUAAGGUAGCGAAAUUCCUUGUCGGGUAAGUUCCGACCCGCACGAAAGGCGUAACGAUUUGGGCACUGUCUCAACGAGAGACUCGGUGAAAUCAUAGUACCUGUGAAGAUGCAGGUUACCCGCGACAGGACGGAAAGACCCCGUGGAGCUUUACUGUAGCCUGAUAUUGAAAUUCGGCACAGCUUGUACAGGAUAGGU
rnacentral:rRNA from 1 species